AAACCAUGGUGUGGACAAUCUUUUUGGUAGUCUCUGAAUCUUUCCCAGGCGUCAUAGAGGUCCUCUGUGUCCUUCUACUGAAAUUUUUGGGAUCUUGUCCCUUAAGAGAUU
rfam:Eutrema salsugineum unplaced genomic scaffold scaffold_11, whole genome shotgun sequence.